UUUCUUUCUCUUUAGCACUUGUCUAGUUCGGAUUUAUCGUGUAAGUGAAAAUUGAACGCGAACAAAAAAAAAAGGAAAUCGUUGCGUUUAUAAUUUUUUUUUUUUUUCUUGUGCGUGCAUAUGUGCAUUUAUCUAUGUGGAAUUAAUGUCAAUGCGACGUGUUUUUUUUUUUUUUUUGGUAAAAAAUAAAAAUUGAUGAAAAUUUUUCCCGCGAAAAGAAAUGAUUCUGUUUUAAAGUGUCGUUUCAAAAUAAAACUGGCGUUGUUUUUAUGUAAUUUGAUUAAAUCGUGGAUCGUUCCGAUUCAAUCUAGGCGUGAAAUCUAAUGUUAGUUUCAAUUUUUCAAGCUUGAAAUUGCUAAUUCGAAAUGUAAAUUGACAUAAUGUUACACGAGUGAACAGUUAAUCUUAAACUUGAGCAAUUACUAAAAAAAAAAAAGGAAAUUAACGAGUUUCUACUACAUCGCGUUGACUGUACAAAUGUAAUUAUUCUUUAUCAAAGAAUAUAUACAUCAUGGAUUUUUUUUAAUCUUGUAUCUUUCGAAUUUUAUUUUAUUUUAUUUUAUUAUAAUCAUGAAAUUUUUCGCUUCAUACUUUUCUUCACAAUUUGACAUUUCGAAACAAGAUUCCGUAACCCACUUACAGAAGAGGAUUAUAUUAUUAUUCUUACAUGAUGAGGAAUUGCAUAAUUGAAUUAUAAUUAGAAUAGUAGGGCAGAGUAACAAAUCAAGAAGUCGGAGAAGAGAACGAAAUAAGUAGGGUAAAGGUAUUCUACUUGUACUUUUUUUUUUUAUUACAAUCGAUUGUUAAGUGGAAAUUAAUAUUCGAGAAAGAGAGUGAAUCGUUAAAGGAAUUUCUUCAAGAGGAAAGUAAUAAUGUUGUUUUAAUUUCUAGAGCACGUUUAACGAGUUUUAUUAAUGAAUUUCAUGGAUCACCGAUGACCUAUGCAAGAUUCGACUGACCUAACAUAAUCCACCUACUUUAUAUUUCCUCUAGUUAUUUGGAAAAUGACCUUCAAUGACUCUUGAAUAACCUUUACCAAUCCCCUUAAAGGUUAAUUCCAUCCACUACACAAGAGAAUAGAAAUUGAAAAGGUUUUAGAAGAUCAAAAGAUUGAUUUGUUGAACUGAAGAUGAUCUUCGAUGAUUAUUCAACAUGUUGGAGUUAAAAAGGAUUUAAAAAAAAAAACAUUAAAAGCUUCGAAUCCAAGGAUGGAAAAGAAAUCAAUCAAGAAGAAUCAAUCAAGAGAAUAAAAAUAAUUAUCAAGUUCAUUAAAAAAAAUGUAUGUCAAAAAUCAAUGAAGUUGACUACGGACUACUCGAUUACGGAAAGAAAAAGAGAAGAAAAAAUAAGAAGAAGAAAAAUAGAAUUACUUUUCAAAAAUUGUAAAAUACAUUAAAAGAUUAAAAGGUAAUUGAAAACAAUUUUGUACAAUCUCGACUGUUUCUAUUUUAUUUCGUUCUUGAAACUUCAAUUACGAUAGAAAAAUAGAUAGAAGAAUAACAGAAAAGAGAGAUUAAAAAAGUUUGAAAUAUCAACAAAUUCCUUAAAAACUUAAAUGAAACUGAUGCUUGAACGACCGAGUACAUUUUAUCAAUUCUAGAAACUAGAAUUCCAAGAAUUCUAAAAAAAAAAAAAAAAAA
rnacentral:lncRNA from 1 species